GUCAGUGAAAUGCUUUGUUGUAAUCGUGUCAAAAUCUGGUGAAAAUGCCUAAUAAUAAGAAGUUUGUUCGAUCGAAGGGUAAAAAACGAACGUUUCAUGAGAAUUGUUAUGUUAAAGUCAACAAAUUAGUUCAUUCUCAGUCUUCUGAAACUGAGAAAAUAGAUGAAACAUGUACGAGUGUACGACUACUUUGUCAAGUGAAGUGGCAUCUACGAGCGCAUCAGAAAUCAGAUCCUUGCCUGAUCCUACGUCAUAUGAAGAAAUUUGUGAGAAUACGUUGAGCAUUCCAGUUGCAGCCGACGUAGAGUGUUGAAUGUUACUUCAAAGAGACUAUGAUAAAAAGCAUAUUUGUUAAGUCAUCUUCAGAGUCAAGUGAGGAGUAAACGUCAGAAAGCCCUUACAGAUAUAGUAAUUUCAUUCAUCAAAAGAACUUUCUCACCAAAAUAUUGAAUGAUUUAAAAAGUGAUUCUAACGAGGUCAUUACAGAUUUGUUUUCAUUACGUGAAAAAUUAACUCACCAUAAUAACAUUCGUGUUCACAUGGCCUGUAAUGUAAAUACUUUACCAGAGAAGACGAGCGAGAUGUGGGAGACUGAAUUCAUUCCCAACUCUUGUCCAUAUAAAACACAACUACAGUUGGAGAAUGUGCAAAAUGUGUGCGUGUUUUUUUAUGAGAAAAUGUUGGAAGUAAAAUCAUCGGAGUUGGUUCUGUGGAAUCAUCAUUUCUCAUUCAAUGCUGUCGUUGUAUUCAAACUUACACAUUUCCAGAUUUUCCCGCUAUUUUAGUCUUCAUUGAGUGUAUGACUGCUUUGGAGGGUCCAAUGUGGCAUACUAUCCGUGGGCUUGGACUCUCCUAUCACUACAGGUUUUUGACUGUUAAUGAAAGUACAGGAAUGUCAAUUAUUGAUGUUGGUGUUCUCAAUGGAUUUAGUGUGAAACAAGAUAGCCUGAUUGAACUUCAAGAUAAAGCUAAUCCAGGAAUAGCGAAGUUUGAAAUAUCUGACCGACAAGUGUAUUUGUACCUGGACAAAAUAGCCAGCACACACGCGCUUUGUUUCAAUCUGGAGUUCAAACGUGACUUUGAAGUCGGAAUAGUUCAACCUGUCCCUGUGUCCGUGUACAACUAUUAUGAUCCAGCUUCAAGAUAAAGCUAAUCCAGGAAUAGCGAAGUUUGAAAUAUCUGACCGACAAGUGUAUUUGUACCUGGACAAAAUAGCCAGCACACACGCGCUUUGUUUCAAUCUGGAGUUCAAACGUGACUUUGAAGUCGGAAUAGUUCAACCUGUCCCUGUGUCCGUGUACGACUAUUAUGAUCCAGAUGUGUAAAAGGCUACAUUUCUACAGGUUUUUGACUGUUAAUGAAAGCGCAGGAAUGUCAAUUAUCGAUGUUGGUGUUCUCAAUGGAUUUAGUGUGAAACAAGAUAGCCUGAUCGAACUUCAAGAUAAAGCUAAUCCAGGAAUAGCGAAGUUUGAAAUAUCUGACCGACAAGUGUAUUUGUACCUGGACAAAAUAGCCAGCACACACGCGCUUUGUUUCAAUCUGGAGUUCAAACGUGACUAGGGUUUAAGAGAUCAUUAUCCAGUGCCAUAGCGCUAUACAGGUCGUAGCAAUUAAAGAUGAUACAGGGGAUAUAUCAUUCACUGGCAAAAUUGCUACUGUGGAUCCACGUCAUCCUGUUCAAUUUCUCGCAGCGUUCUGUGACCUUUGCAAAGAGCGUUUUCAAAUGAAAGAACUGUGCAUCAAGAAACUCACUAAAUUGUUUUGCCCUCGAUGUGCUAAACAUUUGUCUCCGUCACUGUUCCUUCACAUAGAAUUUAAAGAUGACUGUGGUAUGGGUUACCAUGUUGUGUUGGCAGACGAAACUGCAAAAAUUUUCACUAAGACUGAUCCCUUUAAAUUACUCACGGAGAAAGACGAACAAGAACGCUUGAGAAGUUUUCUUGUUUCAAAAGAGAUAAGAAAUAUGGAAUAUGACAUCUGUAUUCGAGAAUGUGGGAAAGUGAAAGGAAAGCCUGUGUACGUUCUACUUAAACUAUCAAAAAAAUGGAAGGUGUAAUUUUCUGUAAAAUCAAUUUUAUUAUAUUCUAAUGAGCGUAAUGAUCGAGGGUCCGGCUACCUGCAUGGAUAGUUGGGGUUUCAAGUGGUUUAUUAAGGUCGUUGUGUACAGGAUAUUAUGCUUAAAUUAGAGUUUUAGAAGAAGUUUUUUAAAGAAUUCAAAAAAAUACAAUUCACAAUCUAUGCAGGCUUCCUGCAAUUGACCCCUGUCACUAUAUUAACUAUUUUACGGUAAGAAUAACAUUGUGUGUAAAUUAAAUAGAGGUUUUUGAUUUAAUUAAUCCAGUGCCAUAGCGCUAUACAGGUAUCAUA